rnacentral:rRNA from 1 species
ACGUAUCCAACCUGCCGAUGACUCGGGGAUAGCCUUUCGAAAGAAAGAUUAAUACCCGAUGGCAUAGUUCUUCCGCAUGGUAGAACUAUUAAAGGAUUUCGGUCAUCGAUGGGGAUGCGUUCCAUUAGGUUGUUGGCGGGGUAACGGCCCACCAAGCCUUCGAUGGAUAGGGGUUCUGAGAGGAAGGUCCCCCACAUUGGAACUGAGACACGGUCCAAACUCCUACGGGAGGCAGCAUG